rnacentral:lncRNA from 1 species
AUGAACGGUCACCACCUGCUUAAUAUACCUCAGGAGAAAGGAGGUGCUUUCAGUGGAAUGUUCAAGAGAUCGAUUAAACAUGACGAACAGUCCCUGAAUGAGCUGGCGUCAAGCAAUGAAGGUCUAUCGGAAAAUAGCAUGGGGAAUCUCGCUAGGCAGAAGGAACUUUCAGAGAGCAACGACAGCCUGUCUGACACCAAAAAGACAAAGGUGGGUUAUGUCAUUUCGGGAAUAUCCUUGGAUGACAACUAACUCGUGACUUGUGGAGCGACGUUAAACUGGUUUGAGUUUCUGUCAGCUGCUGUUUGAGCCUCUGCCUGGAAUCAUGGAGGAAUCUUGUUCAGAACAAGAUUCCUCCAUGAUUCAGAACUUGGCCUGGUUCUGUCAGCAGUGU